rnacentral:rRNA from 1 species
GAGGAAGGAGGGAGGCGUGCCUAAUACAUGCAAGUCGAGCGAACGGACGAGAAGCUUGCUUCUCUGAUGUUAGCGGCGGACGGGUGAGUAACACGUGGAUAACCUACCUAUAAGACUGGGAUAACUUCGGGAAACCGGAGCUAAUACCGGAUGAUAUUUUGAACCGCAUGGUUCAAAAGUGAAAGACGGUCUUGCUGUCACUUAUAGAUGGAUCCGCGCUGCAUUAGCUAGUUGGUAAGGUAACGGCUUACCAAGGCAACGAUGCAUAGCCGACCUGAGAGGGUGAUCGGCCACACUGGAACUGAGACACGGUCCAGACUCCUACGGGGGGCAGCAGUAGGGAAUCUUCCGCAAUGGGCGAAAGCCUGACGGAGCAACGCCGCGUGAGUGAUGAAGGUCUUCGGAUCGUAAAACUCUGUUAUUAGGGAAGAACAUAUGUGUAAGUAACUGUGCACAUCUUGACGGUACCUAAUCAGAAAGCCACGGCUAACUACGUG